GACGAACGCUGGCGGCGUGCUUAACACAUGCAAGUCGAGCGGAAAGGCCCUUUCGGGGGUACUCGAGCGGCGAACGGGUGAGUAACACGUGAGUAAUCUGCCCUUCACUUGGGGAUAACCUCCGGAAACGGUGGCUAAUACCCGAUACGACCAUUCCUCGCAUGAGGUGGUGGUGGAAAGUUUUUCGGUGGGGGAUGUGCUCGCUGCCUAUCAGCUUGUUGGUGGGGUAAUGGCCUACCAAGGCUUCGACGGGUAGCCGGCCUGAGAGGGUGACCGGCCACACUGGGACUGAGACACGGCCCAGACUCCUACGGGAGGCAGCAGUGGGGAAUAUUGGACAAUGGGCGGAAGCCUGAUCCAGCAACGCCGCGUGAGGGAUGACGGCCUUCGGGUUGUAAACCUCUUUCACCUGUGACGAAGCGAAAGUGACGGUAGCAGGAGAAGAAGCACCGGCCAACUACGUG
rnacentral:rRNA from 1 species